UUCUAUGGCCAUACCACCCUGAAUGUACCCUAUCUUGUCUGAUCUAGGAAGUCAAGCAGAGUCGGGCCUGGUUAGUACUAGGAUGGGGGACCAGCUGGGAAUACUGGGAGCUGUAGGCU
rnacentral:rRNA from 1 species